UACAAAAUAAAUUUUAUAUUAUUACUAUUAUUUUAUGAAGAUAUGUUUCUUUGUGGUCAUUAAUGUACAGAUGUACUGUGUGGAUUUGCUGUGUUUCUUCAGAUUACAGCUAGCAAGAGUGGUUUAGUAAUGCAUCUGCAGAGACAACAUCACACAGAUGCUAAUUGGAUGGGAUUUCAUCUGGUCUGCAGCCUACUGUUCACAGCCCAUAUUGACUUCAUAGGAAGGAUAUUCACCAUGAAGAGUGAUAUUCACCUUAAAUACUGUUGCAUACUGGAUUAGGACCAUUGGCGAUGUGGCUGUUUCUGCUCCUGCUGGCUUCUCAAGGCUGUCCUUCCAAGCAGCAGCUGCUGUUUGCAUGCUAAGAAAAGGAGGAGAAAGUGUUAAGACUAGAGUAUGUUUUGGUACAUGUUCUGUGGGCAAGAAGAGCUAUCUUAAUAAAAUUAAUAAAUCUAAUAAUAAAUCUCUAGUCAGAGAAUACACUUGUUUCAAAACACUAAUUAAAAAAAAAAAAAAAAAAAAAAAAAAAAAA